UGUGUUUUGGUACAUCCUGCUAUGUAACUGUUUGCUGAAGUGGUCACCACCCACCUGUCAUUAAUGGAUGGAGGGUACAUAUUUGUUCAGGGCAGAGAGAAACAUCUGAUCCUUUAACAGAGCAGGAUGAAGUGUCUGCGAAGCUGUAACUUCUACGGAACAUGGUUCCAACUUUUCCUCCCACGAGGCCACAGUCUCACUGCUGGAAUUCCCUGGGAUUACUGCUGGGGGAAGAGUGGGAAAGCAGCAAUGGAAGCAUCUGGCAACACGGAGUAACGCCACACACCACGCUCAUGGGGGCACCAUCCACUUCCCAGGCAUCUUGCCAGAGCCCCGUCUGUUCCCGAAGUUUCCUGGCACAAGGGAGGCAGCCCACAUAGAGCCGGACGCUGCCGUCAGCAUCAGGCGGCAGUAGCUCCUCUCUAACGGGCAGAAGGCUAAAGCUGUCCCUUCAGAAGAGACAGGGACCAGAGGGCUAAGGCCGUCUGCAAUUCCUCCACCCCAAGGCGGAGAGGGGCUUCAAAGGCUCCAGAAGGAUAAUUAACACACCGAGAAGUGUUCAGUCUAUAACCAUGGUCCUGGGCCUCUAGACCAGCACACAGUCUCUGACCGGGCCCCGUGCUCCACUGCACCCACCUUGAGCGAGUCUGGCUCCCGCAUCCCAGGCUCCAGGCGCUGGGGCAUGUGCACACGGAGGCUCCACCAGGCGAGCAGCAUGGCUGGCCGGGUCUUGCCCUGCAGGGAGGCAUGUACUGCACCUCCCCGUGUCACCAACUGGAAUAGUCAUGGCAACGUGUAGAGAGCAGUGACCUUCGAUGCCCAUGGCUGUCCAUGUCAGGCACAGAAACUCACAAAAUCCUUGUGCUCCUAUAAUGUCAUUCUAAUCCAGAGGUAGCGGCUGCAUUGAAAUAAAAUCACAGAAAGAAAUUCUAUUCUGAAGACGGAGAUGUGUGGUCAAAGAGAAUAUUUUGUUAAUGGCACAUCUGAGAUGAUCGAGGUAGAGACAAUCACAGGUGUACAUAAAGGUAUUCCUCUUCUUUUGAUUGCUUCUUUGCAGGUACAUGAAGAGGCUAUUUUAACUGAACGUAUAAAGAACCAUCUCUGGUAUCUUUACCUUUCAUUAUUUCGUUGCAUGAAAACUUUUACUCUUUUUUAUAUUUGUAACACAUGAAAAAUCCCUCCACGUAAACAUCUUGAAUUCUGUUAGCCUGGACCAAAAAAUGGCAUUCCACCUUUGCCACCAUGAAAUAAGAACCCUAUCCCACUGUAAAAUGGUUUGGUGACUCCUGAAUCAGGUACUCUUAGCACUUUCCCCGACUGGCGAGCCUCACUCCCUACUACAACUUCUCUCAAAGAGGUGCGGCUUCACACUUCGCUAUCCUUCUUGGAUACAGACGGAAAAAUCUUUCUUCCCCUCAGGAAAUGAGUAUCUCAUUCACCUCAUUUCAGUAUCCAUUUAGCCAUCAUUUUCUGACAACAAAAACUGUUAGAGUGCUUUGCUAGCAAUAAAACCUGAGAUUCCCUAACCUGAGUUACUGACGAUGGAAAAAGCCAGAUGAACACCUGGACGAACUCUUUUGUGUGAACUUUCUGCCUUCAGUGUUUGGUAACACGGAGGUCUAACCAGAAAAGCACGAUUUCAGCUUCUGUUAGGAGAACGACACUUUUCGAGCCAAAAAUGAUUUUGAGAUUAGCAUCAAGUAAACUUGAGCCCCUACGCAAAAACGUUUAAAGAGGUCCCUCUUUCACGAGCCACCCCAGAAAUGAUCUCAAUCUGCAUCAUACGAAGCGGUGGGAGAGGGAAUGUUCUGUGAGUCCCUGAGCUGGAGCAGUUGCUCCUAUUGUGGAUAAAACAAAGUGGCCAAGAAAUAGGAUACGGUCCCCAAAACAAGGGCAUAAAGAUAAAUAAGAAAGAAGUCUAGGAACUGGGGCCAGUGUUGUCACCUUCAUCGUCACCAUGCAGAACAGGGAUCACUGAUGACUCCUGGAAGAGGAUCUGUUUGGUUAAGAACAAGCUGACAAAGAGUGUAUCAUCCUCUCUUUAUUUUUCUGUGUGUUUGAAUAUUUCCAAAACUAAAAUUUUUUAAAAGUAUGUUGACUGAGGAUGUCAUCUGGUUCACUGGAAAAGGAGAAUGUGUAGAGGGAAAAAGAAAUGAAUAUUCUAACAGUCUAGUCAUCUCAGGAUUGGAAAUCCUGAGCGCUUUGCCAAGUCACAGUGCAAGAGGAAAUAGGAGGGAGAAAGCACAGAUGCCAGGAGGGCUGCCUCUGGUCCUGCUCAAAGACCUUCCUGGGGCGAUUCAGAUGAUCCAGGACCUUCCUGGGAAGGUCCAGGAAAAGGAGGAAAUGCUUCUGCCUGCAUCAUGUUCUCAGAAGAAUUCUGGACAGAGCCUUGGUCAGCUCAAAAAACCAAAUAUCCACACAUAGAGAAGGCGCACGUACGUUCUGUAUUUUCUGACCCAAAGGAGAUCGCUUUUGUACAGGCGGUUCGGCCCAUCUAUCUAGAAACACGUGGAAACAAGAGAUGGAAGACAGGGCAAGAAAUGGUGUGUGGAAAGAAUACAAAGGAUAUUAUUUGACUGCUUGACUUUCUUUUAAGGCAUUUUGGAUCCUCUUUGGUUAAAGAAAUGCUUAUAAUGUUAAUUACUAAUGGCCUCCCUUAACUUUUUUUUUUUUUAAUUCUGAACUAUUUUUUACCUACAGAGAAGUUGCAAAAAUAGCACAAAGCCCUUCUUGCGACCUUUAUGCUGCUUUCCUUGCUGUUAACAUCUUCCGUGACCAUAAUGCACUUAUCAAGAACGGGAUAUUAACAGUCACACACUAUUAUUAAUUAAGCUAGAGACUAUUAGAAUUUCACCAUCCUUUCCAUUAAUAUCCUUUUUGUUUCAGAAUCCUGAGAGGAUCCCAUAGCACAUUUAGUUCUCUUUUUUCGUAGCCUUUUCCAGUUUGUAACUGUUUCUCGAUCUUUCUUUGCCUUUUGUUGCCUUGAUACUUUUGAAGAGUACUGAACCGUGGUUUUGUCGAAUAUUCCUCGGUUGGGCUUUGUCUCGUGUUUCUUCAUGGCUGGAGUGAAAUUAUGCAUUUUUUAGCAAGAAGACUACAAAACCGAUGUUGCGUCCCUCUCAGCGCAUCACAGCAAGGGUUUGUGAUGUCAACAUGUCUUAUUACCAGUGAUGCUUCUUCCCUUGAUCACCUGGUGAAGCUGGUGUCUGUUCCUUUCUCCACAGUGAAGUUACUAUCUUUCCCUUUGUAGUAAAUACGUAUCUUGGGGGAAAUAUGCUGAGACUAUGCAAAUCCUGUUUCUACUCAGACUUUGCUCACUAAUUUUAGCAUCCAUCUGUGGAUUUUGACUGAAACAAUUAUUACUGCGGUGCCUGCCUAAUGGCGAUUUUAUAUCCCAUGUACCUUCAACAUUUACUUUUUGGAAUUCUACUUAAGGAAAAGCUGCCCCUUCUCCUCUAUUUGUUUUUUUAAUCUGUUCAAACCCCUGGAUGUUAAUUUAAUCUAUGGGUUAAAAUUCAGUACUAUCAUUCUUCGUUUUGCCACCCAAAUUGUCCAAAUUGUUCCAGCUUUGGUCACUGGGAACACACUUACGUUGACUUUUGGAGAAUGUCCUUAUUUAUUGGCACUAUAAAAUGGAACGUAAGAUAGACUCAUUUUGUGUUUUCCCCACCUGAGCCCUGGAAUCAACUGCUUUUCCAAGGAGAGUUGGUUGCUUUUUAUUGGGGAAUGGUAUUUAGGAGCAGGACAUGGAUGCUACGGUGAGCUUAUUGCAUCUCGGCAGACUGAAGGAUGUACUAACCUAUUUAUCUAUCUACCUAUUGAAAUAUGUCGAUGACAGUAGUUUAUCCUGCUACUCUGAUUCUAAUCCAACACCACGGGGUUCAUGUUUUCCUUCCUCUUUGCUUACUGAUAACUUUUUUCUUCAUCAGUGCAAUGCCCAUAAUAGCUUUCUUUUAACUUGGAAGAUAGUUAUGUUUAAUCAUCAGCUCCAAAGUCAUUAAUUGAUUAGACUGGAAAUGGAUUUAUUAAUUUGGCCAAUAUUAAUGGGCAUGUUCUGUGUUUAAGGCCCUCUCUACAACACGCUUUUGGUGGAAGAAGGAUGACUCUUAGACCUUCCUUUCAGGCAGUUUAUGGGCUAUCAGGAAAUAUAUUAAAAUGAUACAGAAAGUAAGGAGUGUUAAGAGAAACAAAUAAGUUGCUCUCAGCAUAUGGAGGAAGGAGAAAUGUACCUCUAUUGAAGGAAUAAGGAAAGGCUUUCUGAAGCAGCUGUGGAUCUUUAAGGAUGAGUAGGAUGGAAUCUGUAAGGAUUAGGGGAAGGCAGUUCAGAAAAGGGAGCAGCUUGAACCAAAGCAUGAAGUGGGAGCCACACACAGCAAGGCACAGGAAGGUGACAGGGUGUCUGGGUAGAGAAGAAGGCCUAGGAGUCAGCAUGGUGGGCGGAGCUGGAUCACAGAGCUCCAUUCUGGCUGCAGAAGAAUCUGGGCUCUCCGUUCCGUGGGCGAUAGAGAGCUCCUGAGAGUUUGGAAGCAAGAAGAAACCUGAUAGGAGUGACACAGUGGACUCACAAUGGAGGGGGGAUCUGAGGGACAGGAAUGGUCUUUGGAGGAGAUCAGUUUGGAAGCUAUUGAUAGAGAUCUGACAAUCUGAGGGUGACUGAAUUUGGGCAAGGACAACAGGUAUGGAGAAGAGGGGAUAUACCUGAGGAACUACCAUGAGCAGUUGGCCACACUUGACAAUAGAUUAUAUGAGAAGAGCAAGAAGUCUAAGGUAACUCCAGCAUUACAAGGAAGUAUAUUAAAAACAGAAACUAGUAAGCAAGGUGGUGGGAAUGUGUCCAACAGCCCCCAAAAUGCCGGGUUGAGAUAAAUCACUUCCCUUGUGACCAUUUUUAUGCUAUUUUAGAGUGGACAGAAAAGAAGAGAGAAAUCAAACUUUUAAUCAAACAAUGCUGUUACUUUUUAGCAGCAAUGCUAUAUCUCCAAUAGAGUAGAAAACUGUAUUAAAAAUCAGAGUGAAAUUUCUAAAUGACAAUGACAUUUAAUUAACCCAUGGUGCUGGUUAGCCAUUGGCAUUGAUAAUCACCACAAAGCAGUGUUUUCUUUGAAGUCUGAUAGUUAACACUCUCUAAACUAGAAGCUGCCCACAUUUUAUCCAUUAUGACUCGAAGGCUAUUAAAACAGAGCCAUAUAACUUCAGUCACCAGGGAGUUUUGGAACACUGAAGUCAGAAUGAAACCAUCACAGCUACUCUAUUAAUGUUGUAUCACUAUUCAGAUGUGAUAGUGUAUCUCAGGAACAGCUUAAACUCAAAUGUACUAGUAUCUACACAAUCAUGACUGCAUUUAUUAGUUAGCACAUAACGUAUAGGCGUAGGCUGGGCUUGCUGGAGGGUAUUUGGCUUUCAGGCUCGAGAAGCAACUACGCGUCAACGGUCGUUAUGCCAGGCCCUGUUAAUUACCUUCUUUCUAAGGCAGUAAGAGCUAAAUUUGUUCAUUUGUUUUGCAAGAGGCUAGUCAACCACGCCAUAGGGCAACAGAAAGGACAGAAGAGGAGGGAAAGAGAGCAAAUCCAAUUUUUCUUUGGAUUGUGCAAAAGUUUGGAAGUGAGACCCACUGGCUCUAAGGAACUCUGGCAUGGAUGCCCAGCUUCGUCUCAGCAGGGUGACCUUGUGGGGAUGGCUCAGCAUCCACGACCACCUACUCCUCCUUUCCCCUGAUUGUGCAGGUGAAGGCACUUCAAGCCUGUCUUAGACAAGGUGUCCCUCCUACCUUCAAGACUCUCUUGGAAUGAACCUACUCAAAAUUCUUCCUAAGGAAAUAUAGAUCAUCUUAGUGGGUGGCCAGCUAUUCUUCUUCAGUGGAGUCAGAAGAGCCACAGUGAAGGAGAGGUCCACAUUUUCUAUCCCUAGAAACGCUCUAUGACCAUAAGCGUUGUCCACCACCAGAACUUGUUUCCAGGUAGAACUGUGUGGACACAGAUUUCCACACUGAACUCACAAAAGUGUUCAGGAAGACUGUGCAUUGGACCUUCACUAGCACAAAGGGGGGCCGAGGGUACGAGAUGAAGAGCUCAGCAGCUCUGAAGAUAUUGAACAGUCAUUCCUGUAGGAAAUCAGUUCUCUUAUUACAAAAUUGCUGUCUUAAAAAAACAUCUUUAUCAAUUAAGGCAAGCAGGGUUGGCAGGACUCAAGGGUCAAUAAUAAGCACUCAAAAUACAGCAGCAAAGAAGAGGUUAAAGGCAAAAACCAUGAGGCAGUGAAGACACAUGUCACAUUGUCAUGUCAUCAUAGUAGCUGUCCCCGUUCUUACCUUACAAUAGCCUCCUCCCCUCCUUGGCCACUUCCCCUCUUCUAGGUCCUUUCAGGUACCCUUUCCAAGUCUCUUUUUCUUUUUUUAAGAUUUUUAUUUAUAUACUCAAGAGAAACAGAGAGAGGCAGAGACACAGGCAGAGGGAGAAGCAGGCCCCAUGCAGGGAGCCCGACGCGGGACUUGAUCCCGGGACCUCGGGAUCAUGCCCUGAGCCGAAGGCAGAUGCCCAACCACUGAGCCCCCCAGGAGUCCCUAAGUCUUUUUUUCUAUGUCUAAUGGAGAAGUAAUGUGACAGUAGAUCUUUCUACUAUUUAUUAACCAUAUUUUAGUAUGUUGGUUAUUUAGGUUAUCAUGGUACCAACUGAUUCCAUGAGGGUGUGUUUUGUUGUUUGUUUGGCUUAUUUGUUUCUAAUUAUGAAACUGAAGGUUUUGUCACCGCUAUAGAAAUUUCAAGCCUUGGCCAGUUGUAGGUUGUAUGAAUUGAGUGAUGAGAAGCGCAGCUACCGUCACAUCUUUAGUUCUCUAAGAAAGAUGUGGGGUAGAAGAGUUGGAAGGAGGGUGGAAUCUGUGUUUCCUCCCUCCAAGAAUGACUUAGAUUAUGAUUCAUGUGUCCCAAGACGCUGUGAUGGAAACUCCACCUCCACUGACUAGACAAUUUGUAGGGCCCAGGCAAAAUGAAAAUGCAGGGCCCCUUGAUCAAAAAUUAUUAAGAAUCUCAAGACUGUGACAGCAGAGCACUAAACCUACCCCCAAGUUUCAGGGGCCCCAAGGCCCAGCUGUCUUGCAUCCAGGUUCCUGUUCCCUGACUACCUCAUUGAUCCUUCCAUCAUCCAGGUUCCUGUUCCCCGACUACCUCAUUGAUCCAUCAAUGCUCACUGGAUGAGAGGCAUGGCAGUCUAGGCAAGCCUAUUGCUCUUGCAGCUAAAAUUCACCAACACACUACAACUCGAUUGGAACAUGAUGGGGCUUCCUUGCACUUUUCUCCUUACCUUGUACCGCCCAGAACUGCAGAAGAGAUAUUAAAGUGUUUUCCACUUC